AGCGAGUUGGUCCUUUGCGCUCCAGCUGUUCACUACCUGUGCAGCUCUUGUGUUUGUCCGACCAGGGCGCAUGCGCAGUUCGCUUUUCUAAAAAUAGUAACUUUGGGGUAAUUGAGACAAGCCCCAUUGCAUUCAAGAACCGCAGAGGCGGAAGCAGGGCAACCAAAUGCAGCUUGGACCAGGGUUUAUUGAGGGAAAAGGGUGGUGGAGAAGAGGAUGAGUGGAACAAACAAGCAGGAGAGCAUGUUCACUAAGUGUCAAAAUUCUCCAGCAAACCAACAUACCCUCAGCCUCCACUGCCUGCAUCCAGAGUUUUGUUUUUGUUUUUCUUUGAAAAAACGUAUCAACUAUUUUGUUUUUCCAUGUGUCUCCGUCCCUGCCUUUGGGGGACCUACCACACCAAUCGUAAUAGAAUUAUCUGGUCAAAAUGGACUCCGCAGAGACUGAUAAGAUCAGGCAGACGUUGGUCUCCCAAGCGGCCCAUGUUGGAAUGCACAAGAAGGCCAUUCAAGAAAUCAUGGAUUUGCUCAGCAAACUCAACCACCCUGUCCAGCUACUUCCGGGAGCCAUUCAUUCUCCCUGUCAGUUAUUCAGGAGUCAUGUAGUGAGUUUCUUCACCAGUGUUCAAUCAGCAGCCCCCAAUUUAUGCCUCGGAUAUUUCCAAGAUGGCAUUGUUGUCCGAGAAAGCAUGGGCUGUUGCCGUGGCUAAAAGUAAUCCACGCCUAUGUAAUGUUGUUGACUGCCGAGGUGUGUACAAUUUUUGACACUCUAAAGCAUGGGUGUCAAACUCAAGGCCCUGGCGCCAGAUACGGCCCACCACAUAAUUUUGUGUGGCCCAUGAAGAAAAAUUUUGCAUCGACUUGGUGUCAUUGCAAAAAUUACAAAUUGUAUUCACUUUUUAAAAAUAGAGAUAUUGCUAGCAAUUUUUUAUUAUCAUUCAUCUUUUUGAACUAUUUGAACAGAUUUUACUAGUCUCUGAUUUCAAAACUAGUUAUUCAUCAGUUUGUUGUGGAGCCUAUGCUGUAUGUAUAUAGAAGCCGUUGACCGUCAUAAUGGCCCUCCAAGGGAAACUAUGACUACAAUGCGGCCCACGACA